UACGUAGGGUGCAAGCGUUAUCCGGAAUUAUUGGGCGUAAAGAGCUCGUAGGCGGUUUUGUCGCGUCUGCUGUGAAAACCCGAGGCUCAACCUCGGGCCUGCAGUGGGUACGGGCAGACUAGAGUGCGGUAGGGGAGAAUGGAAUUCCUGGUGUAGCGGUGGAAUCGCAGAUAUCAGGAGGAACACCGAUGGCGAAGGCAGU
rnacentral:rRNA from 1 species